AAGCAGUCUGGAUUCGUGUUUAUUGAAGCCAGUAAUUAGAGACAUCUUUUUUUCCCAGGACUAGAAAGCAAGGUUCCACAUGACUGCAUACUGCACCCAGACAGAGCCACACCCCUGGACUAAGGCUGGUGGGGGAUAAUCUGCAGAAACACCAAUAAAUUUAGUAUACAGACGACAGUGAACUUUCACUUACAGCAUUAACAUUGUUAAGGUCAUGAUGUUCAGAGCAGUCACUUUCAACUUUGUUAAAUUAAUAAAACGUGACAAUGUCUUCAGUUUAAAUACCGAUUUAAAAAUGCCAAUCAAAAAAAAGUGCAAACAAAAUAACAAUCUAGCAGCAUAUCUGUUGCAUUUUUAGGAAAGACCAAUUCUUGGCUGUUAUCUUCAGCCACGUAUUCAAAGUUGGGCUUUUCUCUGAUUUUUUUAUUUUAAAGACAAACAGCAGAUGUAACCAUUAUAAUGUGCAUAAAUAGUCAUAAAAUUGUCUUUAACAGUCUACCAUACAAGUGUACUCUGCAAAUAAAAUGAAUUUUACUUUAAAAACUAAAGGCUGUUUAUUAUUUGGCCUUUGGUUCCAAUGCUUGAAAACCCCAAAAUAACAAAACUCAUCUCCCUUCCUCCCACCUCCCAAAAAGAACCCUGCAGCUCCCCAAAGUUGGUAGACUUUGGCAACCACUGAGCACAUGACACUAUGUAUCAGCUUCUUCUGAUACUAGGAGCUUCCACUUGUCAUGAGUAAAUAAAAGUGGUCUCCAAGAAACCUUCCUUCACAAGACAUGUCUUAGCAUUUCAUCAGUUUUAGUAUAUUUUAUAUUGACACAAAAAGUGCUUAUCAGUUCAAAUGAUAAAAAAUAAAGACAAAUUAAAAUUUUGCAUUAAAAUUUAAAAUUAUACCAUAUUCCUCUUCGGCAUCUGCCUUUCCAGGAAUUCUUGUUUCUGAGGUCACUCAUUUUACUCCCGGGGACUAAGUGACCCCACCUUUAGUGAGGCCACAAGCUGUUUGGCAUCUAUUGGUCACUAUACCACAGUUAUCAUUCUACAGUCAGUUUACUGUCAUUACCUAGACAACUUGGUAACUACCAACAGGACCAAAUGUGCAAAGGGGCAGGGCAUGAUUGAGAUACUGCCGUGAGCCAUGCAGCCUUCGGAAGCUGAGAGAUGCUUCUUCAUUCCAGACCAGCCCCAAAUCCAACCGGUCUCCUUGCUCCUAGGGAUGACAUGUGAUUUGGAUACCAAGUGAUUCCAAACACACCUCUCACUGGGCUUGUGCCUUUGGCACCUGCCUGACUGCUCUGAACAACUCUCUAAAAUCAGCCCAAGCCUGUAUGCCAUCUAUGACUAGCCUGAGUGACACUCUCCUUGACUGUGCAGGAGGCAACCCAAAUCCCUGAGAGCUCCUGGCUUUCACAUUUCCAGCCUCUCACAGACUGCACUCCCCCGGCUCCCCCUAUUGCAAUUCUUUCCAGUCCGCCUGGGAUCUACCACUUGUCUUCCAGCAUCACCCUCCUGCUUUCCCUGCCAUACUUCUCCAUAACCCCAUCACUGCCCUUCCCUUCUUCAGCUGUGUAUGUCCCCUCUACGGUGCCAUAUGCAAGGAACAUGUAUCAUUCAUUUCUGUGUCCUUUGCAGAGAACCUGAGCACCUAGUGGGUGCUGAGUAAGGUUUCCUGAAUGAAUAAUGUAAUUGUUUGUUAAGUCAGAAGGAUACUGAAGCCUGAACAUCAAUCUGCUAACACAAGUCCUGUCAGAGACCACAGCUUCAU
rnacentral:antisense_RNA from 1 species